AAAGAUACUAUUAACUUCCCGGCUUAUGAGGAAUUGACAAGACCUCUGAAGAUUCUGACAUUUCCUUUUACAGAAGGAAGAGGUUGCUGUGUCAGACAUUUAAAGAACAUCCUUGAUGACUAGAAUCUUCAAGAGGAAACUAUGUAGUAAUGAAGCACAAUGACAGCAAGACUGGGGUUUAGACAAGAUCACAGACUGAGGCAUUAAAAGGUUUCAUUCUGGCAUUUCCUUGGCUGAGAAUGAGCACUUUUCUGUAGGAUCAUCCUGAACCAUGAAAUCCAGUGUGUCUUCAAUGUUAAAUUCCAAAUGUGGAAAAGAAUAAUUAGUUAAAAUUAUGUAAGAUUUUAACUUUUGGACACUAUUUCUUCAAGGCGUUAUCUUCACAAA